rnacentral:rRNA from 1 species
UACGAAGGGAGCAAGCGUUGUUCGGAAUGACUGGGCGUAAAGGGCGCGUAGGCGGUUUUGUAAGUCAGGUGUGAAAGCCCUGGGCUUAACCUAGGAGGUGCAUUUGAGACUGCAAGACUGGAGUGCGAGAGAGGAAAGAGGAAUUGUGAGUGUAGAGGUGAAAUUCGUGGAUAUUCACAAGAACACCGAUGGCGAAGGCAUCUUUCUGGCUCGUUACUGACGCUGAGGCGCGAAAGCGUGGGGAGCAAACAGG